CAGCCGCCGCGGUAAUACGAAGGGUGCAAGCGUUAAUCGGAAUUACUGGGCGUAAAGCGUGCGUAGGCGGUGAGUUAAGUCUGCUGUGAAAUCCCCGGGCUCAACCUGGGAAUGGCAGUGGAUACUGGCUCGCUAGAGUGUGUCAGAGGAUGGUGGAAUUCCCGGUGUAGCGGUGAAGUGCGUAGAGAUCGGGAGGAACAUCAGUGGCGAAGGCGGCCAUCUGGGACAACACUGACGCUGAGGCACGAAAGCGUGGGGAGCAAACAGGAUUAGAUACCCCGGUAGUCCCUGUCUCUUAUAC
rnacentral:rRNA from 1 species